rnacentral:rRNA from 1 species
GUCGAACGAUGAUCCGGUGCUUGCACCGGGGAUUAGUGGCGAACGGGUGAGUAACACGUGAGUAACCUGCCCUUGACUCUGGGAUAAGCCUGGGAAACUGGGUCUAAUACCGGAUAUGACUCCUCAUCGCAUGGUGGGGGGUGGAAAGCUUUUGUGGUUUUGGAUGGACUCGCGGCCUAUCAGCUUGUUGGUGAGGUAAUGGCUCACCAAGGCGACGACGGGUAGCCGGCCUGAGAGGGUGACCGGCCACACUGGGACUGAGACACGGCCCAGACUCCUACGGGAGGCAGCAGUGGGGAAUAUUGCACAAUGGGCGCAAGCCUGAUGCAGCGACGCCGCGUGAGGGAUGACGGCCUUCGGGUUGUAAACCUCUUUCAGUAGGGAAGAAGCGAAAGUGACGGUACCUGCAGAAGAAGCGCCGGCUAACUACGUGCCAGCAGCCGCGGUAAUACGUAGGGCGCAAGCGUUAUCCGGAAUUAUUGGGCGUAAAGAGCUCGUAGGCGGUUUGUCGCGUCUGCCGUGAAAGUCCGGGGCUCAACUCCGGAUCUGCGGUGGGUACGGGCAGACUAGAGUGAUGUAGGGGAGACUGGAAUUCCUGGUGUAGCGGUGAAAUGCGCAGAUAUCAGGAGGAACACCGAUGGCGAAGGCAGGUCUCUGGGCAUUAACUGACGCUGNGVAGCG